GUCUAUGGCCAUAUCACCCUGAACAUGCCCGAUCUCAUGAUCUCGGAAGCAAAGCAGGGUUGGGUCUGGUUAGUACUUGGAUGGGUGUGGUGAAUAUGGCUGGAUU
rnacentral:rRNA from 1 species